rnacentral:rRNA from 1 species
CCCUUAGAUGUUCUGGGCUGCACGCGUGCUACAAUGGCGUUUCCAGCAAGUCUGCGAACCCGAGAGGGCCAGCGGAUCUUCGAAUUGGCGUCGUGAUCGGGACAGUCGAUUGCAAUUAUUUGACUCAAACGAGGAAUUCCUUGUAAUCGCGAUUCAUCAUAUCGCGCUGAAUACGUCCCUGCCCUUUGUACACACCGCCCGUCGCUCCUGCCGAUUGAGCGAUCCGGUAAAUGUUUUGGAUUGGUGCCGGGGCGGCUAGCUGCCGGUCGCUACGAAAUUUUGUGAACCUUAUCGCUUAGAGGAAGGAAAAGUCGUAACA